UCUUCGGAGUCUGGGGUGGUCGCGAAGAUCCCGGACAAGCCCCCAUAAUGAAAGAUCCCACGCAGAGAGACCCUUACUCAAGUCUUGGGAAAUCGCGGACCGCAGACACAGAGAGACCA
rnacentral:pre_miRNA from 14 species